UUCGGAAAUCGUGUUAACCUUAAAUUUUGCCUGAUGAAGUUGUGAAAUACAACGAAACGUUGCAACGUUUAAAAAAUUUAACACUGAGUUAUUUUUAUGGUCCAAGUUCCUGAUAAUUUUCAUUAU